CGCGGCCUAUCAGCUUGUUGGUGGGGUAAUGGCCCACCAAGGCUACGACGGGUAGCUGGUCUGAGAGGACGACCAGCCACACUGGGACUGAGAUACGGCCCAGACUCCUACGGGAGGCAGCAGUAGGGAAUCUUGCGCAAUGGGCGAAAGCCUGACGCAGCAACGCCGCGUGAGGGAUGAAGGCUCUCGGGUUGUAAACCUCUUUCAGCAGGGACGAAAUUGACGGUACCUGCAGAAGAAGCUCCGGCCAACUACGUGCCAGCAGCCGCGGUAAUACGUAGGGAGCAAGCGUUGUCCGGAUUUAUUGGGCGUAAAGAGCUCGUAGGCGGCUCUGUAAGUCGGGUGUGAAAUCUCCAGGCUCAACCUGGAGCUGCCACUCGAUACUGCAGUGGCUAGAGUCCGGUAGGGGAUCACGGAAUUCCUGGUGUAGCGGUGAAAUGCGCAGAGAUCAGGAGGAACACCGGCGGCGAAGGCGGUGAUCUGGGCCGGCACUGACGCUGAGGAGCGAAAGCGUGGGGAGCAAACAGGAUUAGAUACCCUGGUAGUCCACGCUGUAAACGGUGGGAACUAGGUGUGGGGCUCUAUCGACGGGUUCCGUGCCGUAGCUAACGCAUUAAGUUCCCCGCCUGGGGAGUACGG
rnacentral:rRNA from 1 species